rnacentral:rRNA from 1 species
UACGGGGGGUGCGAGCGUUGUCCGGAAUCACUGGGCGUAAAGGGCGCGUAGGUGGCCUGAUAAGGGUGUGGUGAAAGUCCGGGGCUCAACCCCGGAUCUGCCGUGCGAACUGCUGGGCUUGAGCACUGUAGAGGCAGGCGGAAUUCCGGGUGUAGCGGUGGAAUGCGUAGAGAUCCGGAAGAACACCGGUGGCGAAGGCGGCCUGCUGGGCAGUGGCUGACACUGAGGCGCGACAGCGUGGGGAGCAAACAGG